rnacentral:rRNA from 1 species
UACGAAAGGGGCUAGCGUUGUUCGGAAUUACUGGGCGUAAAGCGCACGUAGGCGGCCUUGUAAGAUGGGGGUGAAAUCCCCGGGCUCAACCCGGGAACUGCCUUCAUGACUGCAAAGCUAGAGGAUGCGAGAGGUUAGCGGAAUUCCGAGUGUAGAGGUGAAAUUCGUAGAUAUUCGGAAGAACACCAGUGGCGAAGGUGGCUAACGGGCGCAUUUAUGACGAUGAGGUGCGAAAGCGUGGGGAGCAAACAGG